rnacentral:rRNA from 1 species
GACGAACGCUGGCGGCGUGCUUAACACAUGCAAGCCGAACGAUGAACCCGGAGCUUGCCCCGGUGGAUUAGUGGCGAACGGGUGAGUAACACGUGAGUAACCUGCCCUUGCCUCUGGGAUGACUGCGGGAAAGUGUAGCUAAUCCCGGAUACGACCCCAGGCGGCAUCGCCAGGGGGUGGAAAGAAUGUCGGUCAAGGAUGGACUGGCGGCCUCUCAGCUAGUUGGUGAGGUAACGGCUCACCAAGGCGACGACGGGUAGCCGGCCUGGGAGGGGGACCGGCCACACGGGGACUGAGACACGGCCCAGACUCCUACGGGAGGCAGCAGUGGUGAAUAUUGCACAAUGGGCGCAAGCCUGAUGCAGCAAAGCCGCGUGAGGGAUGACGGCCUUCGGGUUGUAAACCUCUUUUAGUAGGGAAGAAGCGAAAGUGACGGUACCUGCAGAAAAAGCACCGGCUAACUACGUGCCAGCAGCCGCCGUAA